GAUGAACGCUGGCGGCGUGCCUAAUACAUGCAAGUCGAGCGAACGGACGAGAAGCUUGCUUCUCUGAUGUUAGCGGCGGACGGGUGAGUAACACGUGGAUAACCUACCUAUAAGACUGGGAUAACUUCGGGAAACCGGAGCUAAUACCGGAUAAUAUUUUGAACCGCAUGGUUCAAAAGUGAAAGACGGUCCUGCUGUCACUUAUAGAUGGAUCCGCGCUGCAUUAGCUAGUUGGUAAGGUAACGGCUUACCAAGGCAACGAUGCAUAGCCGACCUGAGAGGGUGAUCCGCCACACUGGAACUGAGACACGGUCCAGACUCCUACGGGAGGCAGCAGUGGGGAAUCUUCCGCAAUGGGCGAAAGCCUGACGGAGCAACGCCGCGUGAGUGAUGAAGGUCUUCGGAUCGUAAAACUCUGUUAUUAGGGAAGAACAUAUGUGUAAGUAACUGUGCACAUCUUGACGGUACCUAAUCAGAAAGCCACGGCUAACUACGUG
rnacentral:rRNA from 1 species